rnacentral:rRNA from 1 species
AUUGAACGCUGGCGGAAUGCUUUACACAUGCAAGUCGAACGGUAGAGGGGGCAACCCCUCGAGAGUGGCGAACGGGUGAGUAAUAUAUCGGAACGUGCCCAGUCGUGGGGGAUAACGUAGCGAAAGUUACGCUAAUACCGCAUACGAUCUAUGGAUGAAAGCGGGGGACCGAAAGGCCUCGCGCGAUUGGAGCGGCCGAUAUCAGAUUAGGUAGUUGGUGGGGUAAAGGCUCACCAAGCCAACGAUCUGUAGCUGGUCUGAGAGGACGACCAGCCACACUGGAACUGAGACACGGUCCAGACUCCUACGGGAGGCAGCAGUGGGGAAUUUUGGACAAUGGACGCAAGUCUGAUCCAGCCAUUCCGCGUGCAGGAUGAAGGCCCUCGGGUUGUAAACUGCUUUGUACGGAACGAAAAGGUCUCUCUUAAUACGGGGGGCUCAUGACGGUACCGUAAGAAUAAGCACCGGCUAAACUACGUG